rnacentral:rRNA from 1 species
UAAUACGUAGGCAGCAAACGUUGUUCGGAAUUACUGGGCGUAAAGAGUGUGUAGGCGGCUUUGUUAGUUUGGUGUGAAAUCUCCCGGCUUAACUGGGAGGGUGCGCCGAAUACUGCAAGGCUAGAGUACUGGAGAGGAAAGCGGAAUUCCUGGUGUAGCGGUGAAAUGCGUAGAUAUCAGGAGGAACACCGGUGGUGUAGACGGCUUUCUGGACAGUAACUGACGCUGAGACACGAAAGCGUGGGGAGCAAACAGGAUUAGAUACCCUGGUAGUCCACGCCCUAAACGAUGCGUACUUGGUGUGGGUCAUUCACUUGAUCCGUGCCGGAGCUAACGCGUUAAGUACGCCGCCUGGGGAGUACGGUCGCAAGGCUG